AUUAGAGUUUGAUCAUGGCUCAGGACGAACGCUGGCGGCGUGCCUAAUACAUGCAAGUCGAGCGCAGGAAGCCGUCUGAACCCUUCGGGGGGACGACGGUGGAAUGAGCGGCGGACGGGUGAGUAACACGUAAAGAACCUGCCCAUAGGUCCGGGAUAACCACGAGAAAUCGGGGCUAAUACCGGAUGUGUCAUCGGACCGCAUGGUCCGCUGAUGAAAGGCGCUCCGGCGUCGCCCAUGGAUGGCUUUGCGGUGCAUUAGCUAGUUGGUGGGGUAACGGCCCACCAAGGCGACGAUGCAUAGCCGACCUGAGAGGGUGAUCGGCCACACUGGGACUGAGACACGGCCCAGACUCCUACGGGAGGCAGCAGUAGGGAAUCUUCCACAAUGGACGAAAGUCUGAUGGAGCAACGCCGCGUGAACGAUGAAGGCUUUCGGGUCGUAAAGUUCUGUUGUAAGGGAAGAACAAGUGCCGCAGGCAAUGGCGGCACCUUGACGGUACCUUGCGAGAAAGCCACGGCUAACUACGUGCCAGCAGCCGCGGUAAUACGCAGGUGGCAAGCGUUGUCCGGAAUUAUUGGGCGUAAAGCGCGCGCAGGCGGCCUCUUAAGUCUGAUGUGAAAGCCCCCGGCUCAACCGGGGAGGGCCAUUGGAAACUGGGAGGCUUGAGUAUAGGAGAGAAGAGUGGAAUUCCACGUGUAGCGGUGAUAUGCGUAGAGAUGUGGAGGAACACCAGUGGCGAAAGGCGACUCUUUGGGCCUAUAACUGAC
rnacentral:rRNA from 1 species